GAGAUGUGAUGUUGAAUCUGACACAGUUGCUUGUGGUGCUUUUAAUCUGCGGACUAAAGAACUGCACAAUGAACAUAUAAAAAUAGCUCUGGAAACAAAUAAUCAUUGUUUCGGAGUUAAAAGAGAGUGCAUUUUUACCAAACACCUCACACAUUUCCACGUUCUGACCGGUUUUCCUCCUGAUGUAGCUCAUGAUGCAUUAGAGGGUGUUGUGCCAGUGGAGUUGGCUUACUGCUUGUCAGCAUUAAUUUCAAAAAAGUUUUUUACUAUUGAUAAUCUAAAUAAAGCAAUAUUGGCCUUUCCAUACAAGUGGUCAGAUAAGACAAAUAAACCUCAUAUUGUGCCACAAAAUUUGUCUGCUCGCAAAACUGUGGGGGGAAACGCCCACGAAAAUUGGAGUUUGUUGAGGUUUCUCCCUUUUUUGAUUGGACAUUUAGUACCUGAAAAUGAACCUUCAUGGUUGGUGUUACUGGAUUUAAAAGAGAUUAUUGAACUUCUUGUUGCCCCAACACAUACUGAUGAAUCCAUUUCAUAUCUUGAAAGCAAGAUAACUGAACACAGGCAAAGAUACAAAGACUUGUUUCCAGCUGCCAGACUUUUACCAAAGCACCACUUUCUUAAACACUACCCUUAUUUAAUAAAGUGUUUUGGUCCUUUGGUUACACUCUGGACACUUAGGUUUGAAGCUAAACAUAGUUACUUUAAAAAAGUUGUGAAACAUACUAGUUGUUUUAAAAACAUUCCGCUGACUCUAGGCACCAAUUCAUGAUAGCAUUUCACCUUAACUCGCCCUCCUAUGGUAAAACCUCUCUUGAUGUACCUAGUGUGUCCUCAUUUCCAGUGGAUCUUUUGAAUCCAAAUAUUGCUUUGGCUUUAACAUCAAAAUAUCCCGAUAUAACUGAAGUCAAUCUGACUAAGAAUGCAUCUGUGAAUGGCAUACAGUACAGCACAGGCAUGAUAGUUGUUCAGGGGUCAACUAGCGGCAUGCCAGACUUUGCUGGGAUUGUGCACAUGUGUGUCAUUAAAAAUGAAUUGCUCCUUAUUGUGAGAAUGCUAUGCGGAUGGUACACUGACCAUUACAGAGCCUUUGAAAUAACCCCAUCACCAACCAGAGAGACAAAGCUUGUGCAUUUAACUGAUCUGGGAGACAUCUAUCCACUGGCAGAUUAUAUUGUUGGAGCAAGCCGAAUGGUGACCUUGAAAAGGCAUAUUAUUGUUAAAGACUGAGAAUAAUGGCUUCACCCUGCAUACUCAAAGUCAUAUUGGUGGACAACACCUGCCAGAGGCUAACACUACCAUGUGGACUUCCUCAAUCUGUGAGUGAGCUUAUGGAAGAAGUACAGCGCCAGUGUGGACUGACCUACACCUUCAACCUACAGUUUAUGGAUCCACUCUUUAAUGAUGACUUCAUGAAUCUGACCUCAGUAUCUGAAAUACAAAACAGAGGCACUAUUAAGGUGGUAAAUCUGUCAGAUCCAACCAUUUUACAGUCACCUGUUUCAUCUGCUGGUUGUCGUUCACCGUCAACUUCAAGUUUUUCUGGUGUGAGCUGUCCUGAUACAGACAUUCUUUCUUCAACUGAGUCUCAGUCUGAGCCAUCCACUUCAAGGUCAUUGUGGCCAGACAAGUUUUGUGUUCCUCAGUUUUCCUUUGACUCUGAAUUAAAACUUGACCGAGCCAAUGCAGAAUAUAAAGAAAAUGGGACACUUCUGACUCCAGAUAACAAACUUUUGUCAAACAUUCUCGAUGGACUUGUGCAAGAAAUUGUUCAUUAUGGACUUUAUAUAACCGACAACCAGUUCAACAGUGUGGGUGAGGCGCUCAUACUAAAGCAUCCCUGUCUGUCAGAGCGAGGCUCAGUAAGUGGGUAUGCUGGUUGGAAACAUCGCUUAAAAAACAAGCUUUCAAUUUACCGAACUCAGUUACGAAAACUUGGUUGUCACGAAGUAACUGUCAAUGCUUUGAGCCACAAGCCACAAGGCAAAGGCCCUGCUUUUGCCAUUAAAAAGCCAAGGCGCUCUGAAGUGAACUAUUGCCCCCCCCUGUCCCACAGGAGAGACUGAGGAAACUUUAGAAACACUUCGAGUGGAACUUAUAAUGGAUGUAAAAAAGAGGAACGGCAAAGAAACAGUGCAUCGAAAAAUGGACAAGACGUUCUCAUACAGAAGAUUAGAGGUAGUUCGGUAAACACCCAUGGUACAAGAUUUCCAGGAACGGUGGCAUGCGCUCUUUAAAGUGUGUGAGAUAAACGCUGAAUUCAAGAGAAUCACCACUCUGCCACUGCAGUCCCGGUUCCUCUCGCAGCUAGACAUUCUGUCUUCCAAACUUAUUGCUCUCUAUAAAAAAAGAGGUGGACUAAUAGGCAAACACCUAAAAAGUAUAAUGGACCAAAUGACUGAAGAAGAUGUCGACCAUGGGCGUGAAAGUGUUCUGAAGGGCCUUUGUGUGUACCUCAAUGAAGACCCCGAACAUCUGAUACGACAGCAUGUAGGAGUAAGUGAUACAGCCUUUGAAGAAUCAGUUGAGGAAACUACUGUGGGGAUCUUCACGGUGAAACAACAGGAGGCGCAGCCUACUCCAGACGAUGUAGGAAUUAUCCUGGAAGGCCAAAUUGUUAUCCAGGAUUUAGACAAUGUUCCUCUGGCUGUUGCACUACUGUUUGGCCUCCUGUAUGCUCUACAUAUGGAUUAUCCUCAUCAACUCAGGUAUACCUUUGAAGUGAUCCAGAAACUGAUCAUGGAGCUAGAUGGUGGCACACUUUCAAAGAAAGUCCAGGUCCUGAAGAAUAGACUCAAUGAGUAAUGCUGGCCAGUGAGCAUGACCAGCUUAUUUGAGGACUUGUCCAUUUAAGUUGCUUUUCAUUGUUCUCAUGUUGUUGUAAACAAACUUUUAAAUAUGCUUAGUUACUUAAAAAAAAAAAGGCGUUCUGUAGAAAGAAGGAUUUUCAUUGUUUAAGAUGUGUUUAGCUGCACUCGAUAUAAUUUUCACAUUUUACCAACUGAAAACGUUUGUAAGAAAUUGUGCAGUAAGGGGUAUGGUGUUCCAUAUAACACCCCAGAAAGUUGGCCCUUUAUAAAAGAUAGACAUAACUUUGAUUUGCGGGUCAAUCGUUUGUGGAAGUCCAU